CUGUUGUUGGGUGGAGAGCAGAAUGAUAAAGCUAAACCUCUGACAUUUAGCUAUCCAGGAAACUGCAGAAUGAGAGUUAAGCACCUCGCUCUUCUCUAAGCAAUGAAUGAACACAGAAACAUUCAAUGGCUUGAAGCUGCCAUUGGCAUGACCAUCAUUGCAUUUGCUGCGCUCAUCGUCUUUAUAUGUUGCUGCUAUUUCCGGAAGAAAAUAGAUGCAUGUGUCGAUAGUCUGCACAGUACCAAAAGUCAUGAGCAUGGAGAGAUUAAACAGGAAGAAGAACAUACACCAGAGAUUGGUUCUGUGGAGUACCUGGAGUUAAGCUGGCCAGCUUCUUAGAACAAGGAUCCCAUAAGAUUGUCAACGUGUUGCUUGUUGAUUAUCACAUGCAAUUUCAGAGCACUCUCUACAUGUGACUAUAAUGUAUCUGUAAGCUCCUCAAUGGACGACCACUGGGAGACUGGAUGACAUCUGUUUCCAUCAGAGCUUCACCAAUAAGACGUUUCUACAGUCUCCUUCAUUCUCCUAACAUGUUCUAACACCUCUGGAACACUUUUGAUUUAGUAUAUACUUGAAAAUAAACUGUAUGAUGACUCUGCAUUCUGGUAUUUUUGAAAGAUUUGCAUUUUACAAAACAAUGUGUUUACUUCAUGAUAAUGGAAAAUACUACAUAUGUUUUAAAAUACCUUAACAGCUUAAGGAAAUGAGAUGAAAGUACUUUGUUACUUAGUUGCAGCAAGAGUCAUUAUUUUAUCAAAGUUGUUUCCAUUAGUUAAAAUAUUAAAGUACAUAGCAGGAACUGUUACAGUUUUGAUUCCCAGUCUUUUCAUUGUAUAUAUGGAGCUUGCUUGUUGUCUCUGUGGUUUUCCUCCCACAUCCCAUAAAGGUGUUUUUAAUGGAAUUUAAGGCUUUAAUUUAGCCACAGUAUGGAUAUAAGUCUGUGUGUGUGCAAUGUGAUGGUAUAGCUCUCCUACAGAGAGAGGUUAGGAGCAUGCGACUGUGCUGUUCUCAGACUCCUUGCGACCUUUAAGAAAAAGAUUUAGAGCUGGAUCAAGAGUGUGCUGCUACCAUCAUGUCUCUGUGGUUUAUUGGUACACAGCUGACAGACAUAACUUCAUCAGUAUACAGUCACAUGUACAGCAAUUGUUGACCUUUUCAAAAUAUAUGUACAGGCAAAUAUUUUUAUGUAAACACUGUCUGUAAAUAAAUGUGAUAUAGUUUAAUAAAAACACAAGGAAAAUUUGACUUUUCAAUAAUUUAUUCAACAUAAAUAUUAACAGAUGUUAAUGAGGAGAAACCUCUGUAAGUACAUCCUUAUCCUCAGAAGUUGGUAUCGCUCCCUUUAGCAUAGGCAUAACUGCCCACUGGUCUUGGACAUCAUCUCUGAAAUUUUUGACCGCUUCUCCAUGCAAAAUUCCUUCAGUUGCAAAAUGUUUGUGGAUUUUCUUGAGUGUACCUUCCUAUUUUAAAUCCCUCCUCAACUUUUCCAUGGGAUUCACAUCAGUGUUUUGAUUAGGCCAUUCCAUAACUCUCUAUUUGCUAGCGUGCUUCAGAUCAUUAUCACAUUUGAAGGUCCAUUUUCAAGUUCAGUUUCAACUUUUGGACCUAAUGCCAUUACUUUCCUCUCAAACUUAUUUUGAUAUGAUGCAGAAUUCAUGGUUGACUCUAUAACUACAAGCUGCCCGUGCCCUGUGGCAGCAAACCAUAACAUUUCCACCACCGUGUUUCACAGUUGGUAUGAGGUUCUUCUCCUAAAAUGCUGCACUUGUAACUAAACAACUCUGUCUUUGAUUUAUCUGUCUAAAGCACUUUGUUCCAGAAGGUCUGGUCUUUGCCAAGAUGUUCAAUGGCAAAUUGUAAUCUUGCUCUAAUUUUCUUUUUGGUCAGUAAAGGAAUUUUGAUGGCUCACCUCGGAUGCAGGUCAUAUUUGUGCAAUCUUUUUCUGAAUGUAGAUGCAAGCUCUUUGACACCAACUUUUGCAAACGUUACCCGCACAGCCCACAAUGAAAUGUUGGGUGUCAUGCUUCAGCAGGCAUUUCUCCCCUGGCUGGGGUUCAAAGAUGUGUUUGUCUGUUUUGUUUAAUUUUGUACCAUUUAUUUGUGUCAUUGUUUAUUAUUAUUAUUAUUGUCUUGGUAGAGUUCUAUAUUACUCUGCUUUCCCCUUUUGCAUUCUUUAUUGUGUAGCCUUUGUCAGAAUGCCUCAAAUCCCAUAGACUUAACCCUAUUUAUAAGGUAUUGUACUUUUUAACUUCUGCCCACUUUCCCUUCUACAUUUAUAACCUCAGGCAAUUAGAUAGAGUAAAAGGACAAGCAGGAGUUAAGUUACAAUUUUAAAUAAUGCAUUAUUGAGAAUAUUCAUAAAAUAAUAACAAUAAGCAAAGUACAAGUGAAUAUUGGCAACCAUACAACCUGAUAAAUGCUGAUGUGUAGUUUCAGACAGCACACAGACUUUUUACUUGCAUGUCUUUAGUUAAGUCAUCAUUUCUAGUUUUCUUCAGGACAGGCCGCACACCUGUCUCAAUAUGGCUACUGAGCUGUCCUUUUCACGGUAAUAGUGUAAGAGAGAGAGGGAGGGGGUAAAGCAACUGAAUUUAUACAUUCUCUGUACAAAUCCUACGGCCAGAAUGGCUUCUGACUCGGAACUUAAACAGGCAACUUUAGACCAAUGGAAUUCUGGUGUGACACAUCCCCCAGUUACUGGCUUAUUUUCACACCUGCCCCCAAAAAAGAUUUGUUGAAUGAAGCUUGCUUGCGAGGUAGUUUGGCUUUCCUGUGGGGGUUGAUUGAGAGAGACCUGCAGAGAAUCACUU